rnacentral:hammerhead_ribozyme from 1 species
AUCCAACUGAUGAGUCCCAAGUAGGAUGUAACACGCGUCCUGCAU